rnacentral:rRNA from 1 species
UCUAGCGAGACUGCCGGUAAUAAACCGGAGGAAGGUGGGGAUGACGUCAAAUCAUCAUGCCCCUUAUGACCUGGGCUACACACGUGCUACAAUGGUUGGUACAACGAGUUGCGAGUCGGUGACGGCGAGCUAAUCUCUUAAAGCCAAUCUCAGUUCGGAUUGUAGGCUGCAACUCGCCUACAUGAAGUCGGAAUCGCUAGUAAUCGCGGAUCAGCACGCCGCGGUCGAAUACGUUCCCGGGCCUU